GAGGGUUGAAAUUUGAUGUUAAUCUUGCUAAAAAUGACUAAUUACGGACUAGUUAGCAAAAGUGUAGAAUGAUGCCCAUUAGGUGUUUGUUAAAAUGCCUAAAUGAGAAGUAAAGUGUUGAAAUUCAAGUGAAACGCGUAAUUGACAAGCUUGACUAAUUACAUGAGACAUGGGAUAAAACGGGUUCUAAUCAUAAUGUUGAUUUGCCUUAAUCGUGCAUAUUAUAUGAUUAAAUGUAGUUGACUUUAGAAAGUCAAACUAACUAGUGAUGAAGUCGAAUAAGUGGUUUCGGCUAAGAAAAUAAGUAAAGUGGUAUAGUCGUGAUUGUUAAUGACUAAUCUAACCACCUUGUAAAUGAUGAACAAUAGUUGGCGCUUAAACAAGCUAGGUGAAGCUUGGAGUGAAAGCGGGUCAAACGAGUCAAGCAUAGAAGAAAAGCGUAGCUCGGAUGCAAGGACUAAUUAGCAAAUCGGAUAGUUGCGUCAUCAUUGAUGGUGUGAUAAUAAAAGCGAGGCAUAAAUCGGGUCUAUUCGUUGAUCCGAGCCAGGUGUAUGCUGAGAGCCCGGAUGAAGAUCAAGCAUCAAACUCAAUGAGGAACCGAACACAUUUUUGAUAAAGCUUCCGCAACGUUGUUGUGUCGUUAUUCUAAACGGCGAAUUAAAUCACAUUAUGUAUAUCGCUUAAAUUAUAAAAGUUUUUAACAAGCCCGUAUUUUCAUUAUAAUUGUGAUUGUAAUU